rnacentral:rRNA from 1 species
GACGAACGCUGGCGGCGUGCCUAACACAUGCAAGUCGAACGGAGUUGCUCCUUCGGGAGUAACUUAGUGGCGAACGGGUGAGUAACGCGUGAGAAACCUGCCUUUCAGUGGGGGACAACAGUUGGAAACGACUGCUAAUACCGCAUAAUGUUAUUUGGGGGCAUCCCUGAAUAACCAAAGCUUUAUGUGCUGAAAGAUGGUCUCGCGUCUGAUUAGCUAGUUGGUGAGGUAACGGCUCACCAAGGCGACGAUCAGUAGCCGGUCUGAGAGGAUGAACGGCCACAUUGGGACUGAGAUACGGCCCAGACUCCUACGGGAGGCAGCAGUGGGGAAUAUUGGGCAAUGGGGGAAACCCUGACCCAGCAACGCCGCGUGAAGGAAGAAGGCCUUCGGGUUGUAAACUUCUUUUACCAGGGACGAACAAAUGACGGUACCUGGAGAAAAAGCAACGGCUAACUACGUG